UGCAUCUUCCAUUAUAUCAUAAACAUGAACAUUAUUAUAAUAAAUUUAAUAUGACCAUGUCAUAUUCUUGCAAAGGCUUCCCUUUUUAUCUCAUAAACUUGCCACAACUAGCUUAACAUCCACACCUUUCUGAACAGCAAACAGAGAACACUCUCACUCGAAAUUACAUAUAUGUCCUUGCGGGUAGUCUAAUUUACGACCCUACAGUUCUUUCUGACCUCUUGACCACCUGUAAUGCUACUCAUCUUGAUCAUGGAGUUUACAAAUGCAUUUGUGAAUGCGUAUUUUGAACCCGCAAACUUUGCUGCCAGAUUUCUAGUUUUCGGCAAAUCAAGCAAAGCUUUAUCCGAAGAAAAUAAGACUUUUUUUUGGAAAAUAAGUUUGUAGUAUUUAUUAUCGAAACUUGUAGAAGAAGGAUCCAUUGGAACUCCUGCGUUCUUUGCGUUUUUGACUGGACAAAUUUUCUUUAAACUUGCGGCAAAUGAAGGGUUGAGUGACGGGUCAACAUCAGUUACUGAGUUGAAGUUGUGGAUUCGGCUUUUGAAUGAUGAGCAAUGGGAGAAACCAAGAGUAUGACCACCUGAAAACAAGUGCCACUAGGUCAUCUAGAGAUAGACCUCUUUGAGCAAAGCUUUUUUGAAGUUGGGAUAUAUUGAAGGUAGGAAAGGGGAGUUGUAAUGUUUCACUUG
rnacentral:lncRNA from 1 species